AGAGUUUGAUCCUGGCUCAGGAUAAACGCUGGCGGCGUGCCUAAUACAUGCAAGUCGAACGAGGAGUCUUUGUAGCAAUACGGGGACUUCCUAGUGGCGAAUGGGUGAGUAACGCGUUGGUGACCUGCCCCAAAGUGUGGAACAACUCCGGGAAACUGGAGCUAAUACCGCAUGUGGUUAUCAGGGUUAGAGGCCUGAUAUCUGAAGGAGCAAUCCGCUUUGGGAGGGACCUGCGUCCCAUCAGCUAGUUGGUAGGGUAAUAGCCUACCAAGGCUACGACGGGUAGGGGGCCUGAGAGGGUGGCCCCCCACACUGGAACUGAAACACGGUCCAGACACCUACGGGUGGCAGCAGUAGGGAAUAUUGCACAAUGGGCGAAAGCCUGAUGCAGCAACGCCGCGUGCGCGAUGAAGACCUUCGGGUUGUAAAGCGCUCUUCUGAAGGACGAGGAAGGACGGUACUCCAGGAAUAAGGAUCGGCUAACUACGUGCCAGCAGCCGCGGUAAUACGUAGGAUCCGAGCGUUAUCCGAAUUUACUGGGCGUAAAGCGCGUGCAGGCGGUUUGGUAAGUUGGAUGUGAAAGCUCCCGGCUCAACUGGGAGAGGCCGUUCAAAACUACCAGACUAGAGGACGGUAGAGGGAGGUAGAAUUUCCCGGUGUAGUAGUGAAAUGCGUAGAUAUCGGGAGGAAUACCAGUGGCGAAGGCGGCCUCCUGGACCGUUCCUGACGCUCAGACGCGAAACCUAGGGGAGCGAACGGGAUUAGAAACCCCGGUAGUCCUAGCUGUAAACGAUGCAAACUUGGUGUCGGUGGGGUAAAAUCCGCCGGUGCCGAAGCUAACGCGAUAAGUUUGCCGCCUGGGGACUACGGCCGCAAGGUUAAAACUCAAAGGAAUUGACGGGGCCCCGCACAAGCAGCGGAGCGUGUGGUUUAAUUCGUUGCUACGCGAAAAACCUUACCCGGGUUUGACAUAUAGGUAGUAGGGAUUCGAGAGAUGACCGACCCUUCGGGGAGCCUAUACAGGUGCUGCAUGGCUGUCGUCAGCUCGUGCCGUGAGGUGUCCGGUUAAGUCCGGUAACGAGCGCAACCCUCGCUGUAUGUUACAAGUGUCAUACAGGACUGCCGGUAUCAAGCCGGAGGAAGGCGGGGAUGACGUCAAGUCAGCAUGGCCUUUAUAUCCGGGGCUACACACACGCUACAAUGGCCAAUACAAUGGGUCGCAAAGCCGCGAGGUAGAGCCAAUCCCCAAAAUUGGUCUCAGUUCAGACUGCAGGCUGCAACCCGCCUGCACGAAGAUGGAGUUGCUAGUAAACGCGCGUCAGCAUUAGUGCGUUGAAUACGUUCCCGGGGCUUGUACACACCGCCCGUCACGUCAUGGGAGCUGGUAACACCUGAAGCCGGUAUCCUAACCCGUAAGGGAGGGAGCUGUCGAAGGUGG
rnacentral:rRNA from 1 species